AGAUGUUGGGUUAAGUCCCGCAACGAGCGCAACCCCCGUCCUUAGUUGCUACCAUUUAGUUGAGCACUCUAAGGAGACUGCCGGUGAUAAGCCGCGAGGAAGGUGGGGAUGACGUCAAGUCCUCAUGGCCCUUACGGGCUGGGCUACACACGUGCUACAAUGGCGGUGACAAUGGGAAGCGAAGACGCAAGUCCUAGCAAAUCUCAAAAAGCCGUCUCAGUUCGGAUUGGGCUCUGCAACUCGAGCCCAUGAAGUUGGAAUCGCUAGUAAUCGUGGAUCAGCACGCCACGGUGAAUACGUUCCCGGGCCUUGUACACACCGCCCGUCACACCAUGGGAGUUGGCUUUACCUGAAGACGGUGCGCUAACCAGCAAUGGAGGCAGCCGGCCACGGUAGGGUCAGCGACUGGGGUGAAGUCGUAACAAGGUAA
rnacentral:rRNA from 1 species